rnacentral:rRNA from 1 species
UACGAAGGGGGCUAGCGUUGCUCGGAAUCACUGGGCGUAAAGGGCGCGUAGGCGGACUUUUAAGUCGGGGGUGAAAGCCCAGGGCUCAACCCUGGAAUUGCCUUCGAUACUGAGAGUCUUGAGUUCGGAAGAGGUUGGUGGAACUGCGAGUGUAGAGGUGAAAUUCGUAGAUAUUCGCAAGAACACCAGUGGCGAAGGCGGCGAACUGGUCAGAUACUGACGCUGAGGCGCGAAAGCGUGGGGAGCAAACAGG